UACGUAGGGCGCAAGCGUUAUCCGGAAUUAUUGGGCGUAAAGAGCUCGUAGGCGGUUUGUCGCGUCUGCCGUGAAAGUCCGGGGCUCAACUCCGGAUCUGCGGUGGGUACGGGCAGACUAGAGUGAUGUAGGGGAGACUGGAAUUCCUGGUGUAGCGGUGAAAUGCGCAGAUAUCAGGAGGAACACCGAUGGCGAAGGCAGGUCUCUGGGCAUUAACUGACGUUGAGGGACGAAGGCUUGGGUCGCGAACAGG
rnacentral:rRNA from 1 species